GACGAAGGAUGCAAGCGUUAUCCGGAUUCAUUGGGCUUAAAGGGAGCGUAGGCGGCCUUAUAAGUCAGGGGUGAAAUCUCCGAGCUUAACUCGGAAAUUGCCAUUGAUACUGUAGGGCUUGAGUACAGUUGCUGUGGGCGGAAUAUGACAUGUAGUGGUGAAAUACAUAGAGAUGUCAUAGAACACCGAUUGCGAAGGCAGCUCACAAAACUGUAACUGACGCUGAGGCUCGAAAGCGUGGGGAGCGAACAGG
rnacentral:rRNA from 1 species